ACUGAGAACCGUCUGAAACAUGGCGUGCGCCCGGUGAUUUCUAAUAAAUACCAGCGCUAUCUGGCAUUCCACGUUGGACCUUUCACUCGAUUUUUCGAAACCGACGUUGGAAAAUAUUUUAGACCGAGCUGCAGUUGAAAUUUGGCAUCUUUUAUUUAGUUGGCGAAAUUGUAUCGUUGGCAUUAUUAACGUAGGUCUGGGUAAUUUAAUAUUAUUUUGUUCUAAUGUAGCGAGAGAGUCUUUCUUUUCGUUAGGUUCGAAUUAGGAUCAAAUCAGGUUAGCGUUGCAGCCACCGUUGGCACAGAUCAACGCCGAAGAGAAAAUGACGAUAAUUAACCGAAGAGUUUACGUCGAGAAUAAAAACCGCCAUCGUGAUCAGCGCUCCCUUCGUCCAUUACAAAGUUGGAUACCACUCAACGAUUCGAAUAACCAAGCGAUACUUAAAUGUCCGAUUGCCUAUAUUUUACCUUGUAAUCAGCUAUGGGAUUGCGAUAAAUCGCUUUCGCCAUUGCGUCUCGGUGGACUAUAAUUCAAUUGUAGAAAUUGAGAAUUCUUUCUUAUUUCUGGUUAAUAAACUUCGAUGUAAUUUGCAGGUUUUCUAAAAUAACGUCGGACAAAUCGUCGACAUUUGUAUGGUUCCUUUAUCAUCCAUCUAGAGAUGGACGACGGAGCAGUGCGUAGCGUAGCUGAUUUCCACACUGAGAAGCCCCGGGUUCGAAUCCCGGUCGGUCCGCCACCGUUUUUUUCAAGGAAUGAGCUGUGACAUGAAAGUAUCGGAACAAGUGGUGUAAGAUUAAGUUAAUUGUCCCAUCAUCCAUAGAUCAUCGUAAUUAGACUACAAACAUCGUGCAACCUAAAUAUAUUUUUAACGCCUCCAACAAUUUCACCACAGAGUCUCUAGCAAUCUAAACUGGCCACAAUUAGUGAACUUCGAGGAUCUCCGAUACUAGCGACUUGCCCGAGCAAUUAACGAUGUAUCUGCUCGAGGGAUCAAGAUCAACGGCGUCGACCAACGCGGACCUCGAUCCAGUCGGUUAUUAUAUCCAAUGAAUCACCGACUUUCCUCCGGGAGGAAUCUUGCUUAGUUUACGUACGAAACGAUGCCGUACUACUGACAUAAUUCCGAUUACGAGGAGCGUUUGCACGCGAUUCUCAUCGCGGAAGAUCGCGUGUCGCGAUUUUUCUGCUUUCUUCGCCGUAUUCGUCGCUUCUGGAAACGGAACAGCAACCGUGAAAUCAUUCGAGUGUCCAGCGAGUAUCGUUGUCUUCGCGAGUCGCUGCCAGAUAAAAAAGAAGAAAGAAUACCUCUCGAAAGAUGCGCGGACAGUGGAGCGGCUGUCCGGUCCCGGUUUUUCGUGGUCGGCUAACAAAUAUAAAAUAUCGAAAAGUCUGUGGCGUAAGGUGUGUAAUGAAAAAAAAAAGAAGAAACUUUAAGGAAAGAAGAGGAGGUAUUCGAUAAAAGUGUGGUUCCGGAAAAGUGCAAAACACAAGAGGGGUGAGAAGUGGCCCUCGAAAGUACGCACAAUGCCUCUUGGAGCCAAUUGAAUGGUCGCCUGUAAGAAAAUCGGGACCGAAACAUUGGAAGAGGACCGAAGAGGUUCGAAAGAGAAGAGCAGUCGGCAGAAGCGUAUCAAUCGGUUAGGAUCAUAUUCGUCAUAAUCACUGCUCGCUCGCCGAGUGUCAAGAGGUGGGCUUUCGAGUGCCUCACCUUGUACAAUGAGGAUCAUGAAUAAAUGGACCCGACCGACAAUGUUCCACGACCUCGGAGGAAGAAACAGGAGGGGCAUCUCGAUGCUCGUGGAUUACAGAGGUCUCCAGCGCCGUAAUUACGUUAUUGUCUCUCCGUGAUUAUGCUCGUCGGCGCGCGUGCUGCGUGCCCCGUCAUCGCUCUUGAAUAGCUUCCACAGCGAAGAUCAUCGCCUCUAUCCGAGCGAAUCUCGAAUGAAUUUAGAUUCAACCGCGAUAGUUUCGCGAAAUGAAGCGUGGCGCCACGUGCCGUGUUUAUCGCGGUACAAUGAAUGAGUGUAGCCGCGCGCAAUUAUU